UACGUAGGGUGCAAGCGUUGUCCGGAAUUAUUGGGCGUAAAGAGCUCGUAGGCGGUCUGUCGCGUCUGCUGUGAAAACCUGGGGCUUAACCCCGGGCCUGCAGUGGGUACGGGCAGACUAGAGUGCGGUAGGGGAGACUGGAAUUCCUGGUGUAGCGGUGAAAUGCGCAGAUAUCAGGAGGAACACCGGUGGCGAAGGCGGGUCUCUGGGCAACUACUGACGCUGAGACGCGAAAGCGUGGGGAGCAAACAGG
rnacentral:rRNA from 1 species